UACGAAGGGAGCUAGCGUUGUUCGGAAUCACUGGGCGUAAAGCGCACGUAGGCGGAUGUGUCAGUCAGGGGUGAAAUCCCGGGGCUCAACCUCGGAACUGCCUUUGAUACAGCACGUCUUGAGUCCGAUAGAGGUGAGUGGAACUGCGAGUGUAGAGGUGAAAUUCGUAGAUAUUCGCAAGAACACCAGUGGCGAAGGCGGCUCACUGGCCCGAUACUGACGCUGAGGCACGAAAGCGUGGGGAGCAAACAGG
rnacentral:rRNA from 1 species